GAGAAAAAUGUAAACUAUAAACUGUUAUGGUUUCUCAUGUUUACAAAUAGUAAAUUUUAAAAUUGGUAAUAUAAGUUAAAAUUUUAACCAUAUUAAGCUAAUUCUAUUUUUUAAAGUCCUGUUUAUUUCUCAAGUAAUUUAUGUAUACUUGUUUUAAAAUGUUCUAUUUCCUGGUAUAACCUCAAGCAUGUUAAGCAAAGGCUGCAAGUUACGGCCAUUUUGUAACCAGGCACAUGGCAAACUGGUCACAUGGCUGCCUUGUAGCCAUUUUGCUAAAGUUGAAAAAAAGGAUACUUAAACCGCCAUCUUGACUAAAGGUGACUGCAUGGGAAUUAGAGGUACCAUCUUAGAAACAAGUUUUUCAGUUAAGAUUUAAAAUGUUAAUGCUUCUAUAUAUUACAGAAAGACCUUAAGGGAAUUUAAAUUUCUUUUUAAAACCAGUUUUUUUAAAUGUUUGUUUUUAUUAAUGUUUGUACUUAAAGAGCUUCAAUUUAGAAUUAUUUUUAAGCAAAGCCUGACAAUGUAAAGUCCUUGUUUUGUGAAAGAUGCUGAUCUAUUAUAAGAUGUUACAGUUUAUGUUUUCAAAAAUUAAGUUUAGGGUGUUGGUAGCACACACCUUUAAGCUCAGGGUGUUGAUGGCACACACCUUUAAGUUUAGGGCGUUGAUGGCAUAUACCUUUAAUCCCAGCACUCGGGAGUAAGAGGCAGAUGGAUCUUUAUGAGUUCAAGGCCUGCCUGGUCCGGCAGAUCGAAUUCCAGGACAGGCUCCAAAGUCACAGAAACCCUGCCUCAAAAAGAAGUUAAGCUACUGUUUAAGAAAUAUAAGGUAGCUCUAUACAGUUUUAAGUUCAGCUGUGCUAAGUUUCAAACAUUUUACUAAGUUAAAACCAGUUACAGUCAGACUGAAAAUUAGUUACAGAAAUAAGACAUUACCUAGCCACCUGUAUGCUUAAUGUGUGCUUAAGGAAAGUAACUAAAACAGACA
rnacentral:lncRNA from 1 species